UUCACCAAGUAAAGGUCUUUUUAGAAAUGAUUUUAAGAAUCCCAACCUGGAUUUUCUUUUCAGAAAUACUACUUUCAUGGCUCUGGCUAUGAACAUCAGCAUAUAGAGAAUGGAUCACUACCAAAGAAGGCACCCGAAUGUGUCUGUCUCAUCCUGGGGAAACUCAUUCAUCUGUAUAUGUACUCAGCAAGUGUUUCCUGGCACCUGCUCUGGGUCACAGUGCUGGGCACUGGAAGCUGAGAGAUGUGGAAGAAGGCUGGACAUUCAAGGUACUUUGUCAAUGCCUCUGAAUGAACAAUGCAGAAUUUGACAAGACUGACUGGACGUUGAGGAAGUAAAGAGAGGUUACACCUGCCUAGGUACUGAGUGCAUUUCCACAGUAGCCCAGAUCAAUAAUGAUAAUUGGGAACAGAACCUAGCUGAGGAACAUGGACAGAAGGUGGUCAGAUGUUGAUGCUGAACUCUUUGAAGUCCAUUUCCUGGAAAGUUCUUUGAUGAGAAGCCCGAGGCUGGUAAACUAGAGUCCAAGGGCAGAAAGCUUGAAUGCAAGAACUAUUUAAGAAGCCUCAGCUCCUCUUCACUCCCAGGAAGGAUGAAGGCGAAUGGACACAUUUUGAUCAGAGACCACAAAAUCCUGCGAAGGCAUCAGAAAUGGAAGAGCUCCAGGGUGAAAAGAGGGGACAAUGGCUGGAGGAAGAAAUGAGAGGAUCUCUAUACCCAGGCCUUGGCUUCUAUGUCCCUUCUCGAAGUGGUUGAA
rnacentral:lncRNA from 1 species